GGGGGUAUAGCUCAGUGGCAGAGCACAUGCUUAGCAUGCAUGAGGUCCUGGGUUCAAUCUCCAGUACCUCCA
rnacentral:tRNA from 1 species